AUGGGAACGGGGAGGAGAGGCGGGCACCGUCCCAGCCUUGUGGGACUGUCUCGGGGGUCCAGGCCGCACGAGAGCCCGCCGUCUCACAGCACGUCUUGUGUUGCAGCCUCUGUGACCAGCCCCAGCAUCUUCCCGCUGAGCCUCCGGAAAGAUGACUCAGGUGACCCUGUGGUCAUCGCCUGCCUGAUCAAGGGCUUCUUCCCGCUGGGCUUCCCAGAGCCCGUGAAGGUGACCUGGGGCAAGAGCGGGGUGGUCACGAACUACCCCCCCUCGGAGGCCGGGGGCCUGUACACCGUGAUCAGCCAGCUGUCCCUGCCAGCUGACCAGUGCCCAGAUGACGCAUCCGUGAAGUGUGAAGUACAGCAUUACACCAGCCCCAGCAAGUCUGUGGACGUGCCCUGCUACGGAGCUCCAGGCCCCCAUCCAUUCUGCUGUGAGUGCCCCUUGUGUGGCCUGCCGCGCCUGUCCCUGAGCCCGCCGGACAUCGAGGGCCUGCUCCUGAGCUCCAAUGCCAGCCUCACCUGCACGCUGAGAGGCCUGAAAGACCCCAAGGGCGCCGCCUUCACCUGGAGUCCCUUGAGUGGGAACGUCCCUGUCCUGCAGGAACCCAAGCUUGAACCCAGCGGCUGCUACAGCGUGUCCAGCGUGCUGCCAGGCUGCGCCGAGCCGUGGAACAAAAAGAAGACCUUCUCCUGCACCGCCAGCCACCCUGAGCUCAAAGAGUCACAAACUGUCUCCAUCACCAAACCCACAGAACCCUUGUUCCAGCCCCAGGUCCACGUGCUGCCGCCGCCGUCGGAGGAGCUGGCCCUCAACGAGCUGGUGACGCUCACGUGCCUGGUGCGGGGCUUCAGCCCUAAGGAGGUGUUGGUGCUCUGGCGGCAAGGGCAAGAGGAGCUGCCCCACGAGAAGUACCUGGUCUUUAAGCCCCUGCGGGAGCCCGGCCAGAGCGUGCCCACCUUUGCCGUGACCAGCCUGCUGCGCGUGGAGGCUGAGGCCUGGAAGAGGGGAGACGUCUUCUCCUGCGUGGUGGGCCACGAGGUUCUGCCCACGCACUUCACCCUGAAGUCUAUCGACCGCCUGUCGGGUAAACCCACCCACGUCAACGUGUCCGUGGUCAUGGCGGAGGCGGACGGCACCUGCUACUGAGCUGCCCCCGCCUGCCCCUUGAAUAAACUCUAUGCUCGCCCAAAGCA